AGUGAACGCUGGCGGUAGGCCUAACACAUGCAAGUCGAACGGCAGCACAGUAAGAGCUUGCUCUUACGGGUGGCGAGUGGCGGACGGGUGAGGAAUACAUCGGAAUCUACUUUUUCGUGGGGGAUAACGUAGGGAAACUUACGCUAAUACGGCAUACGACCUACGGGUGAAAGCAGUGGAUCUUCGGACCUUGCGCGAUUGAAUGAGCCGAUGUCGGAGUAGCUAGUUGGCGGGGUAAAGGCCCACCAAGGCGACGAUCCGUAGCUGGUCUGAGAGGAUGAUCAGCCACACGGGAGCUGAGAUACGGUCCAGACUCGGACGGGAGGAAGCAGUGGGGAAUAUUGGACAAGGGGCGGAAGCCUGAACCAGCCAUACGGCGUGGGUGAAGAAGGCCUUCGGGUUGUAAAGCCCUUUUGUUGGGAAAGAAAAGAAGCAGGUUAAUACCCCGCUGUUCUGACGGUACACAAAGAAUAAGCACCGCUUAACUUCGU
rnacentral:rRNA from 1 species